AUCUUCCAAUUUUUUAAGAUACUAAGCCUAAGGACAAGCAUAUUAAUGGGAGAAGAAUAAUUUUAAAAUUAUAUAGUAUGAUGGAUGGUUAUAAAUGCUAUGGAACAUGGAAGGGGGAUCAGGAGUACAGGGAUGGUGGAGCAGGGGCAUUAUCGUUCUAAAUAAGGUUGUGACUUAGCCAAUAACAUUUGAUAAAGGUUUGGAGGAGGUGAGAGAAGAGUUAUAGGGAUAUCUUGGGAAGAGGAUACUACGCUCAAGGAAUAGCAAGUGUAAAGGUUCUGGGGUAAAAGCAUGCCUAACAUGUUGGAGGAAUAGAAAGGAGGUUGGUGUAACUAAUGAGGAGUAAGCAAGGGAGAACAGCCAAAGGAAGUGAGGUCAGACUGAACAAUACAGAAAAUUGUAGUCAGUAGUGAGGACUUUGCCUUUUACUAAGUGAGAGUGGAAGUCAUUGGAGGAUUUUGAGUAGAGGAAUAACAUGAUUUGAUUUAUAGUUUAGAAGGACCUCUGGGUGUUUUGUUGAUGGACGCCUUAGGGAGAUCACUGAGAAGGCUAUUAUAGUAAGAAACGUGAGAAAUUUUGGUGGUUUAGAUCACCCAGAUCACAGUGACAGCAGAGGGUGGUGACAAAUGAUCAGAUUGUAGAUACACAUUGACAGUUUAACUGGUGGGGUUUGCUGAUGAUUGAGUUUAUGGUAUGAGAGAAAGAGUGAAGCCAAGGAUGACUUGAAUGUUUUUUUUGAGACCUCGUGAUCUGCCCGCCUCGGCCUCCCCAAGUGCUGGGAUUACAGGCGUGCGACAGGUGCGCCUGGCCGAAUGUUUUUAAUUUACACAACUGAAAGAUGCAUCAGUUGGUACAGCUAUGUCUUUUUCUCUGGUCAUGUUUGGUUUGUGCAAGCGGAAAUAAGAAUAUGGUGAGAGUUAGAUGUAACCAAGAUUGAUCUUUUUUUCAUGUGGGUACGAUGAGGCAAGAAAAUGUUAGGGAGUAGAGUAUAUAUGCAAAGAGCUGUCAUUUUUGUUACCGAACUGAACUUGGGUCCAUUUUUCUGGUGCAGCAAAGCUAAACAUUCACAUGAGGAUUGCAGCAAGAGAAAGUGUGACAUUUAUUGCAGAGCACCUCGCAAGGAGAAUCUGGGAGCUCAUGCUUAAAACCCAAAUUCUUGGAUGGCUUGUAGAUAAGGAGGUUUAAACGCAGGAAGGCAGAGGUUAUAGGUAAAGUCAUAAAUCAAUACAUGGAGACUAUAUAUUGGUAUGAUCUAGAAAGGUGGGACAUCUUGAAGCCAGAGCCCACAGGUCAUAAGUGGAUUAAAAGAUUUUCUGAUUUGUGAUUUGUUAAGGAAGCAAAGCUUUUUUCUAAAACGUUGAGAUUGACAGAAAAAAAUGUUAGUUCUGGCCUCUGGGUGUGACUUCCUCAGGCCCUUCAGAAGAGGCCAUUUAGAGCAAAGAAUGGCAGUCAGGGUUCAGUCAUCAGAUCCUCCUUAUCUGAGGUCUACAUGCCAACAAAUCCAUUUGGUGGGGGUCCCGGUUUCUGGAAAACAACUUAGGGAUGUAAAUUAAGAUGUUAUCUUUAGCUUUGAUAGAGGACCAAACUUCUUGUGACUCUGACUUUCUUGGCUACUGUUUUAAGCUACUGUUACUUUCUUGCUUAUCAGUACUUUCUUGCUCAUUUACUUCUCAGGACCAGCGAGGUGCCUGGAAUUUCCUUUGGAGGAACUCAAGAUUUUAUUUUAUUUUAUUUCCAUGCUUGGGAGUAGGGGUCAGGGAGUAGGCCUCUAAGAGGGAUCUCCAUUCCAUCUCAUUAUGAUAGGCUAAACAAUUUAAUUUGGAUAAUAAAAUGGUGAGGGUGUGUUGGGGAUAGUAGUGGAUGAGAUAUGGAAACUAAGUGCUCAGGAAACUACUGGGCUAGGUUAUUAGGAAGAUCAUUGAAAUCGUCAAAAUCACGAAAAGUUACAGUUAGUUUGGGAAAGAGUGAAGUCAUGAUCUGAAAUCCUCAAGGAAGGAGGGGAAUUGAGUGGCAGUUGGUAGAAGAAUAAAAUGAAGAAGGGUCAUGGGUGGCAUCUUGUUUGUUACAUGAGAAUCGAAAGAGGAGAGUGUAGGGAGAAUAGAAGGAAAUGGUCUGGAAGUGGCAAACAGAAACAACCCAUUGUUUCGAAGGCCAUGGGGGAAAAAAAAAGCCCCUUAAUAGGGCUAUAAGAAAACCAUUAUCCUCUGUGGACACAUGGGAGUAAGAUGAUGAUAGAAAUAUUCAAA
rnacentral:lncRNA from 1 species